UUCCCUCUUGACUUGGGUUUACUUAUUCUUUUCACACCUGAUGGGCACCAUAUGUGUUUUUCUCCAUUAUUUUUAAGGAAGCUAUAAGACUGGCGAUUUUAUCAUGUUGGAAAGUCAAUGUAUUUUAUGACUUAACGAUUUGGCAAAUUCAGGAAAAUGAGUUGAACUCGAUUAGAACAUCAGUGUACAUCUCACGGCUCUCGUAUGUGGUGCAGCAGUUAAAGAGAAGAAGGACGACAUGCUAACAAUCCCGACUGUGUGUAUUUUCCCCAUUGGCGUGCGGAUUUUGCACUCCUGAUACCCCACAUUUACUUCUGGUAUGCUGCUCUGACAUGUUCUUUUAGUCCUUCCUUGCUUCCCUCCUUCUACAUCUCUGGAAGGGAUACAGGAGAAGAUGUAAAGAUUCCUGAAGAGUGAGGCUCCAGCCUGUUCUGAGCUUCUGGCUUUUGUAGCAAGAAACCAGUAUUGUAAUCACAGAUGGUUUAUGCUAAACAGUCCAACUUUGAAAAUAAAGAUUGUAUUAUUCCUCAUCAAAGAACUGUUUAGUACUGUUCCUCUCAGGUGAGAGGAACUGCCUCAAUGAAUGCAUAAGAACCAAA